GAGGUGUAAAUACCACUGAUUACCGGGUCCGCCCGCAUCCUAGAGAGGUCCCGGAAGUGCCUGGUCAGGUGGUGCUCCGUGGAGAGGACUGUUUCCGGGUUCUACGAGUAUCUGCGUCCCAUUCUUCCGGCGCUCUGCAGUCGGCUUUCUGGGUUCCUCUGAUCGGGGAAGGACGUUGGAGGGGCCCGGAAGCCGAUCGGAAGGAUUUCUGCGGUGGCCGCGGAGCCUCUCCUGUAUUUGGAAAGGAAGACAGCUAAAAUUCCUGUACCCUCUUAUGUAUUUGUGGAUCAGGAGUGAGAACAAGCAGCAGAAGAUUUCUGAGAAACUGAAGUCACAGAGAGUGUUACCCAAAAGACCUCAAGAGAUUGUGCUAAAAUGGAGGAAAGAUGGUGAGAAUGAAAGAGUUGUGGAGAAAUCCCCUCGUUAAGAGAUUUCCCAAGAGAAGAAUUUGCAGAAAAGAAUAAACCAAAAAUUCCAAGUUCCGCCCUUAAACGUGCCUUCUGUCUGCUAAAACACUUCAUGAUCUUGACUCUAACUCACCAGAGUCUACACUGAAGAGAAAUUAAAAGUAUCCCAAAUAGAAGAAUUUUUCUCAGAAUUCUGCAUUGAUUCAACUCAAGGAGAUCAAGGAGUUGAAGUUGAGAUCAAGGAGCAGAAACCUCAGAAGGAAGGUCCUGUAGAAAUAAGUUCAAAAGAGAUAUUCUUGAGGAAAAUUCGAGGGCAGAGUCCCCAGGACCAAAGCUAGGGCAUUCCUGGGGGAACCAUGAAUGUAGUGGCUCUAAAGAAAAAAAAGCCAUCCAUCACAAACAUCCUUCACAGAAACAAGUUGAUGUAUUCUUCAGAAUUGGUUCUCAACAUACUUGUGAAGCAGGAGAGUGUAUGACUUCCUCUGCAUCCUAAAGUGCCAGUUUAAGAUGGUAUCUUCACCCAGGAUGGAGACCAGACUUGGCAUAACCCACUGGGGACCAGUCUGCUGUUGAUCCCAGUAGAGAAUGAGUUUCAACCACGUUGUUGAUCCCAAGCUGAAGGAAGAAUCACAUUCUCUUUAGUUCUAUGUAGAUCCCCAGCAGGAUUUGAAGAUCGUCUGAGUGGCCCACAUGGAUAGAAAUGAGAAAACAACUUCAGGCCCGUCUUGUGUGUGUGCUUAAACUGAACGCUAAUGGGAGCUUCUCAUAGGACCACCUCUACUUCCUUUUUGGAGUACUUAGAAACUUGAGAAUUCAUAAUCUCAUGUCCUACCUGGGUAACUGGAUCCCAGACAUUUGGCACAAAGGAGGGAGAAGUGAUCCCUGUUUCCCACCAUUCUAAAGAGAUUCCCAUGGCCAUUUCCUCCCCCCAAACCUAGGGAUAUGGAAUUUGCCCCCCUUUCUGUCAUUAUUUCUUUCCUAAUUCUAUUUAUCAUCCCUGUAGUCUGUGCAUAUGUUCUGCCUUGCCAGGGUCUUAAUCUCUGGGAAGGGUAUGAUCAGAUAAACUGUGAAGGUGUAUCUUUCUUCAUGACCUAAUGCAUCAGUGCAGUCAUUCCCAGAGUGGUUCUGCUGUCUCACCUCUUAAUAUUUGUUCAUCUCCUCUGCCUGGGAAAAUGCUACUGAAAUCACCCUUGGCAGUUUCCCUGAAGGUAGAUCUUGAUAUAGGGAAAUCUUGGUGGGAAGAAUGGCCAUUCCUCAUGAUCUUUCAAACUGCUUCUUUAUAGCUUUGUAUUCAAGUGGUAGUCAAUAAGCUACCCUUAAAUACUACUACUUUUAAUCCCUAAGUUCUUAGAUAUUUUCCAGCUUGUUCUUUUCUUUUGGCGAGAUGUAAUUCUGACAACUAGGUGGUACAGUAGCUAGAGUGAAACUCUAGAAGAGAACCCAGGAAGAUCUGGGUUCAAAUAUGGCCUUAGACACUUAAUAGCUGUGUGACCCUGGGCAAGUCACUUCUGUUUGCCUCAGUUUUCUCAAAUACAAAAUAGGAAUAAUGAAAGAAGAGAACCUACUUGGAGAGCUGUCGUGAGGGUCGAAUGAGAUAAUAUUUGUAAAGCACCUAAUAUGGUGUCUGGCAUAUAGUAAGGACCAUGUAAAUGCUAGUUGUGAUUAGAUAUUAUUACUUAAAUUUAGUGCUUUGAAAAAAUCCCUGUGUCCUGCAGUGUGGGUUUUUUGCCUUUACCAAAAUAGAUUUCAAGUUGUCUAUGUCUUAGCAGACAGACUUCGUGAAUUAGUAUUGCUAAAAAAAAUACUGGUGGUCGACCUUCUGAUGAUCAGCCUCUUCACAGGACUAGGUGUGUCCUAGUCUUCCAGAACCAUGGUUACCUUUAUCAAAUGUAGAAUUCAGUGGAGGGUUAUUUUUAGCCAGAGAUUUGAUUUACUUGAAGGUGGUAUAUCAGCUUUUAACCCUUACUGUCUGCUUCGGCCAUGCCACAGAUUCAUAUUAUUUCAUGUGGUAUGAUUCUCCACAAAGGAUUCUUUGCACAUGCUUCACAUGGAUAGGAGAUUAUAGUCAGAACCUUCCUGCAGAGAGAUGCAGCUGUUGCCUAGUUACCUCCAGACUUGCCCCUAUUACCUAGACCUCAUUUCUUGGCUCUCUUUCAGCUAAGGCACCAAGUAGUAUCUUUCCCCCCUCAGUCAUCCAUUAAGGUAAGAGCUAAAUACCACUAUUAGCAGUGACCCAUAGAGCGGCUGCCGACUUGCCUCCCUUGCUUAUUUUUAACCCUAUUUUGUGCCCCUUAAGGGACAGGGAAGGUGAAACAGACCUCUUUAAUAUUGAGGGUCCUUUGCAAGAUGUGGGUGGGAAGAGUGAUCACUCAUUACUCCCAGUGGAACCACCACCUUCUGUCCCUAGCUCCUUUCUCUUCCCCCACUCUUUCCAACCUCUUGUGAAAGAAUCCCAGGGAGGAUCCUCUACCAGGAUCUCUGAAAGUCCUGGUCCAAUAGUUAGGCAUCAGUAACCUAUGGUUAGCAAACACCUUCAUCCUUCCUAAUCUCUGUGGUGUAGAGUUACAGUCUUCUGGGCAAAAGUUCCUUUCCUCUGCCUCUAUCCCCUCUCCUCUCAUCUUGAUCCAUUAUCAGCCGUGUUCCUUCUGAGUCCUACUAUGUUCUGCUUUUUCCUACUAUUUUGGCCUCUGUAACUGCCCGCUAUCUAUCAGUAACAAAUUUUCCUUCAUCUCAGACGUCUUCCUUUCGCACUCUUCCUAUACAUUGAUGGAAACCUGGUUCCUCCGAGCAGAUACUACAUUCCUAGCCACCUUCUCCAGUACUGGACAUUUCUCUCAUGUCUGCUGACAUUGGGACAGUAAGGAGUAAGUAAGUAAGUAAGGAGGAAGAAGAGGAGGCUUCUUGCUCAUCACUGCCCCCUACGGAUAUAUGCUGUCACCGUCGCUCUGGAACCUUUUAAAAAACAUUUAUAUUAUAUAUUAUAUUUAUAUUAUAGUUUAUAUAAGUAAUAUGUUACUGUAAACAUACUAAUUAUAGCAUGUAUUAGUUAUAUAAAUUUUAUAU